rnacentral:pre_miRNA from 1 species
ACAACAACAUUCGGACCGUCGGUCUACCGAGCAAUAUCAGCCGCUCGGUGGGAGAUCUUUCCUUUCGUCGUUAUA